rnacentral:rRNA from 1 species
UACGUAGGGGGCAAGCGUUGUCCGGAAUUAUUGGGCGUAAAGCGCGUGUAGGCGGUCCGCUAAGUCGGCUGUGAAAGUCCAGGGCUCAACCCUGGGAGUGCCGGUCGAUACUGGCGGACUAGAGUCCGGAAGAGGCGAGUGGAAUUCCCGGUGUAGCGGUGAAAUGCGCAGAUAUCAGGAAGAACACCCGUGGCGAAGGCGGCUCUCUGGAACGCAACUGACGCUGAGACGCGAAAGCGUGGGGAGCAAACAGG